rnacentral:tRNA from 1 species
CAGUGAGGUGGUGAGGGCCGGUACGCCGACGUCCCAGUUGCCGGAGUCGGCGAUGACGAUGACGUCGGCGUUCAGCCGCUCGCGGUGAC